CACUAAGAAGCUACUUAGCGUCAGCCUUUUAAGCUGAAGACAGGCGGAUCAAGCUCCUCCCUUAGUGA
rnacentral:tRNA from 1 species